UUGAAACUUCAUGGGGGAGCGGGACUCGGCCUGCACCGGUGGCGACGCCGUGCUGCGGCUGGGAUCCGCGCCCUCUUCCAAACCCAAACACCUGUGAACCUUUGGGAGGGCGGCUGUAGUGGCCUGCCCGCCCCGUUUUAACAACUCUGAUGUCUAUUUGAAUGUGUGUCGGGACUUACCCGAUUUAAAAUUGAAA
rnacentral:misc_RNA from 1 species